CCUACGGGUGGCUGCAGUAACGAAUCUUCCGCAAUGUACGAAAGUAUGACGGAGCGACGCCGCGUGUAGGACGAAGCCCUUCGGGGUGUAAACUACUGUCAAGGGUUAGAUCAACCCUAGAGGAAGGCACGGCUAACUCUGUGCCAGCAGCCGCGGUAAGACAGAGGUGCCAAGCGUUAGGCGGAAUCACUGGGCUUAAAGCGUGUGUAGGCGGAUUGGUAAGUACCUUGUGAAAUCCCACAGCUCAACUGUGGAACUGCUUGGUAUACUGCCUGUCUUGAGCUACUUAGGGGCAACCGGAAAAAAUGGUGGAGCGGUGAAAUGCGUAGAUAUCAUUUGGAACGCCAAUGGUGAAAACAGGUUGCUGGGAUAGCUGACGCUGAGACACGAAAGCCAGGGGAACGAACGGGAUUAGAUACCCUAGUAGUC
rnacentral:rRNA from 1 species